rnacentral:rRNA from 1 species
AGUGAACGCUGGCGGUAGGCCUAACACAUGCAAGUCGAACGGCAGCACAGUAAGAGCUUGCUCUUACGGGUGGCGAGUGGCGGACGGGUGAGGAAUACAUCGGAAUCUACUUUUUCGUGGGGGAUAACGUAGGGAAACUUACGCUAAUACCGCAUACGACCUACGGGUGAAAGCAGGGGAUCUUCGGACCUUGCGCGAUUGAAUGAGCCGAUGUCGGAUUAGCUAGUUGGCGGGGUAAAGGCCCACCAAGGCGACGAUCCGUAGCUGGUCUGAGAGGAUGAUCAGCAACACUGAAACGGAGACCGGGCCGAGACCCCUGGGGGGGGAAGGUGGGGGGAAUUUUGGACAAGGGGCGCAACCCUGCCCCAGCCAUCCCGGGGGGGGGAAGAAGGCCUGGGGGUUGUAAAGCCCUUUUGUUGGAAAAAAAAAGCAGCAGGUUAAUACCCCGUUUUUCUGGCGGUACCAAAAGAAUAAGCCCCGGCUAACUUCG